UACAGGGGGGGCAAGCGUUGUUCGGAAUUACUGGGCGUAAAGGGCUCGUAGGUGGCCAACUAAGUCAGACGUGAAAUCCCUCAGCUUAACUGGGGAACUGCGUCUGAUACUGGAUGGCUUGAGUUUGGGAGAGGGAUGCGGAAUUCCAGGUGUAGCGGUGAAAUGCGUAGAUAUCGGGAGGAACACCGGUGGCGAAGGCGGUUCUCUGGGCCUUACCUGACGCUGAGGAGCGAAAGCGUGGGGAGCGAACAGG
rnacentral:rRNA from 1 species